AAGUCAAGCUUUGGCUCCCUAAAGACUAAAGAAAUGGAUCAAAAAAAGGGGGGACUUCCGCAACGGGCUAUGCCACCCAAACCAACUGAGGGAAGUCGCAUCCGUCCCAUCGCAAGCACCUACAAUGUCAUGAUCACAUUGGUUUACCCUUUUUUCUUUGGUAGUUCAACGGACGGUCGCCCCUCCAACAAGAAAAGGUAUAAAUAUGAAA
rnacentral:misc_RNA from 1 species